AUAAAUUUGAAGUCGUAAAAUGGUACGAGUUGGGUGCCAAGUCCAACCUUCCCUUCCCUGAUUUCACUAAAAUUCCAAGCCCUAAUUUCUCAUCACCUCGUCCCAGCAGCCGGUGUCUCCCUCGUCCGUCCCAAUUGGUUGUUGUUUUCAUGUUUUUCCUUUGUCAAUAGUAUCAUUUCCGCCUUCUUUCUCCAUUGAAUCAUACGGAUAUUCUGUUCAACAAGGCAAAUGGGGAAUUUGACUUCUGAUAUGUGCUGAAUUUCAGAGUAAAACUGGAUAUAAUUUGUCAUCUCUCUCUGGCCGCCCCCUGCUCCGGUGAAAGAAGGUGUAUUUUUCUCAUAUUAGCUGAUUCAAGGUGUAUUUGUCAUCUGCUGAAAGGUGUAGGCUGAGAGAGCUUUCUUUUCAUGAAAAGGCAUUAUGCAAGAAGGUACAUGGCAGAGCUAUUUAGUUGAAAAGGCAUACUGCUACAAUGUGAAUAACAAUAUAUAUUCAUCAUUGUCGUAGGAGAAUAGUAAUGCUCUUUCCAUUUACAGCAUUUCUGCAACAAUGUACAAAGAAAACAAAAGUUUCAUCUCUUUUUUCGCAAAAAAACAACAUCAGGAAAAAGAAAACAAAUGAACUUUUGAAAAAUCAAAAUCUGAGAGAUUUUAUGCAAGAAAUCGAAAGAAAUUUUAUUAACAAAAAAAUUCAAACAAACUGAUGUUCGAACCCAAAAAACAACAUUCAAAGACAAAAGACUUCGACAGCAAAAGAUUUUUUCGAAGGCAAAAAAAAAUUCGAAGGUAGAAAAAAAAAUGCAAAUAAAGGAGAAGUAGAGAAUUACUUUUUAAAAAUGGAGACACUAAUGGUGAAAAAUUAGCCUUAACAUGUACAUGUAUUUAUAGAACUUAAAACACACUUAUCAAAUGUAAAAUGGGCUCCAAAAUUCAAAUUUGAAUUUGGGCUCCAAAAUGAGAGCCAAAACUGUAGUGCUUAAGUUAAUCCAGUAGAUAAUCAUUAAAAGUUUUGCACAAUGGAUAACUAAAUGUUGCUUUUGGCAGGAAAAAAAUGUUGAUCAAAGUGUGCUUUAAUAUAUUAUUCAUAAAUAACCAUUGUGCAAAACUGCAUUUAGUUUUGGUUCUCAUUAAAGCACACUUUGAUCAGCAACUCAUUUUGGAGCACAAAUUCAAAUUUGAAUUUUGGAACCCAUUUUACAUCUGAUAAGUGUGUUUUUAAGUUCUAUAAAUACAGGUACAUGUUAAGGCUAAUUUUUCACCAUUAGUGUCGCCAUUUUCAGAAAGUAAUUCUCUACUUCUCCUUUAUUUGCAUUUUUUUUCUGCCUUCGAAAAAAUCUUUUGCUGUCGAAAUCUUUUGUCUUUGAAUGUUGUUUUUUGGGUUUGAACAUCAGUUUAUUUGAAUUUUUUUGUUAAUAAAAUUUCUUUUGGUUUCUUGCAUAAAAUCUCUCAGAUUUUGAUUUUUUAAAAGUUCAUUUGUUUUCUUUUUCCUGAUAUUGUUUUUUUGCGAAAAAGAGAUGAAACUUUUGUUUUCUUUGUACAUUAUUGCAGAAAGGCUGUAAAUGGAAAGAGCAUUGCUAUGCUCCGGCGAUAAUAAUGAAUAUAUAUUGUUAUUCACAUUGUAGCAGUAUGCCUUUUCAACUAAAUAGCUCUGCCAUGUACCUGCGACAAUGAGGAAUAUGUCAGCUUAUUGAAUAAAAAAAAAUUGUGCUUCAGAAGGUUUUUUUGAUUUCUUUUUUGCCUGAUCUGUAUUUUUGCAAAAAAUGAAAUGGAACCUUUUUUUCUUUCUACAUUCUUGCAAAGAGAUUGUAAAUGGAAAGAGCAUUGUUAUUCUAUACCUUUUUGCAGAAUGCCUUUUUAUGAAAAGAGCUAUUUUAUACACCUGUGAUUAUUAAGAACCUUUGUUUUCUUUUUAAUUCUUGCAAAAAUAUUGUCAAUGGAAAGUGCAUUGUUAUUUUAUUUACCUUUUUGCUGAAUGCCUUUUCAUGAAAAGAAAGCUCUCUCAACUUACAACUGUGAUAAUGAAGAAUCUAUAACAUUGAAUACAUUAUUAUUGAACAUUUUUUGCUUAUUUGGUUGUAUCUAUA